rnacentral:rRNA from 1 species
UUAAAUCUCUCUAUCGAGAAACAAUUGGAGGGCAAGUCUGGUGCCAGCAGCCGCGGUAAUUCCAGCUCCAAUAGCGUAUAUUAAAGUUGUUGCAGUUAAAAAGCUCGUAGUUGAACUUCUGCCCAUCGGUCGCCAGCACAAUCGUGUUUGUGCGAUUGGUGGGCAUCCUUCUAGGCGUUCCUCACGGACACGCUUAGAACCUUUACUGUGAGAAAAUUAGAGCGUUCCAAGCAAGCGAUUGCUUUGAAUACUACAGCAUGGAAUAAUACUAUAGGACUUUUGUGCCUAUUUGUUGGUGUUAGGCCGAAAGUAAUGAUUAAUAGGGGCAGUCGGGGGCAUUCGUAUUUGACAGCCAGAGGUGAAAUUCUUGGACUUGUCAAAGACGAACUACUGCGAAAGCAUUUGCCAAGGAUGUUCCCAUUAAUCAAGAACGAAAGUUAGGGGAUCGAAGACGAUUAGAUACCGUCGUAGUCUUAA